rnacentral:lncRNA from 1 species
GGGGGGGGGGGGGGGGGGGGGGGGGGGGGGGGGGGGGGGGGGGGGGGGGGGGGGGGGGGGGGGGGGGGGGGGGGGGGGGGGGGGGGGGGGGGGCGCUUUGGCCACGCCCAACUGAGGGCUGCCCUAACUCAAAAUGGCGCCGAUCGCUUCUCUUUAAUAGCGCGCAUGCGCCAUCUCUAUCUGCGCUGUUAUUGGUUGAUUUCUUACCGCGUCUCCCCUUUAGCCACGCCCGGCUGAGGGCUGCCCUUACUUAAAAUGGUGUCUCUCGCUUUGUUUCAACAGCGCGCAUGCGCGGAUAAACCCACCAAUCAGAACGCGCGGUUUUGGCGGCCACUCCCCCUCAGCGCUUCAACCCCGCCCUUCUUCCCCGGGGGGGGGGGGGGGGGGGGGGGGGGGGGGGGGGGGGGGGGGGGGGGGGGGGGGGGGGGGGGGCUUCAACCCCGCCCUUCUUCCCCUUCCCCUCAGACCGCCAUGAUGGCGGCGGCGAGUCCGCGGCUGCGGCCGCUGCUGCAAAUCCUGAGGGCUCAGAGGUUUCGCGGUCACCUGCGGUGUUGCGGUGCCUCCCCCGGGCUGGGCACGGCGGUGAGGGGAGUGGCGAGCGCCGGAGGGCAGGUGAGCAGCGGCGAUUUGAGAAACGUUUCAUUCCAAAAAUCAGUUUGGAGUUUGGGAGCGGCUUUUCAAAGGGCUUUCGGAUGAAUUUUGAGGCAAUUUAGGGGUUUUCCCUCAGGAUUGUAGGUGAGCGGUGAGGGCAGCUGAGGAGCGGGAACGAUUCAGGGAGGGAAUUUUAGAAAUAUUUAUUUUUUUUAAUUAUUUUUAAUUUUAGGGCGAUUUUCUCACAAUUUAUAGGAGUUUUUUGGGGGGGACAUUUUAGGCAGGGGGGGGGGGGGGGGGGGGGGGGGGGGGGGGGGGGGGGGGGGGGGGGGGGGGGGGGGGGGGGGGGGGGGGGGGGGGGGGGGGGGGGGGGGGGGGGGGGGGGGGGGGGGGGGGGGGG